GCCACUGUUAUUGGGGUUCGGCUAAGCCAUGCGAGUGGAGGGCGUCCCGCAAGGGAUGGCCCCGCAGACGGCUCAGUAACACGUCGUCAACCCACCUUGGGGUGGGGGACAACCUCGGGAAACUGAGGAUAAUCCCCCAUAGGCGGGGGAGGCUGGAAUGCGCCCCCGCUGAAAGCUCAGGCGCCCUAGGACGGGACGGCGGCCUAUCAGGUAGUUGGUGGUGUGACG
rnacentral:rRNA from 1 species